GGUAGCGUGGCCGAGCGGUCUAAGGCGCUGGUUUAAGGCACCAGUCUCGAAAGAGGCGUGGGUUCGAAUCCCACCGCUGCCA
rfam:Nematostella vectensis strain CH2 x CH6 NEMVEscaffold_4069_Cont46933, whole genome shotgun sequence.